rnacentral:rRNA from 1 species
UACGUAGGGUGCAAGCGUUAAUCGGAAUUACUGGGCGUAAAGCGUGCGCAGGCGGUUAUGCAAGACAGAGGUGAAAUCCCCGGGCUUAACCUGGGAAUGGCAUUCGGGACUGCAAGGCUGGAGUGCGGCAGAGGAGACUGGAAUUCCUGGUGUAGCAGUGAAAUGCGCAGAUAUCAGGAGGAACACCGAUGGCGAAGGCAGGUCUCUGGGCUGACACUGACGCUCAUGCACGAAAGCGUGGGGAGCAAACAGG